rnacentral:rRNA from 1 species
UACAGGGGGUGCAAACGUUGCUCGGAAUCAUUGGGCGUAAAGCGCACGUAGGCGGUUCGUUAUGUCGGAUGUGAAAGCCCUUGGCUUAACCGAGGAAGUGCAUCCGAAACUGGCGAGCUAGAGUACUAAAGAGGAUCGCGGAAUUCCUGGUGUAGCGGUGAAAUGCGCAGAUAUCAGGAGGAACACCGGUGGCGAAGGCGGUUCUCUGGGAAUAUCCUGACGCUGAGGAGCGAAAGUGUGGGGAGCGAACAGG